UAUUAAUUAGCUGAACAUAAAAAUAUAUAUAUAUAUUAUUAGUUGUACAUACAGUGUAACUGUUUGGAAAAUUAGCUAAUAAACAGUUAUAUGUUAUUUUUAUUAUUAUCCCUCAUCAAACAAAGGUUUACUGUUUAAGCAAGUUCCAUAUGCUGUAGUAGUUACCCUUCUCAGUUAGAGAAUAUUAUCUGCAUGCACCACAGAAAAAGUUUGAAUUAUAAGUAGCAAAAAAAAUGAUUGUUUAUUAUGGAUGAGUGCAUUUUUUAGAAAAAUAAAUCCCUUCUAUUGGUCUUUGAGAUCUAACUCAAAACUGAACUUGUUAAGCUAAAUAUUUUUGUGAUAAGCUAUCUAUAUACAUAAAUAAAAUAAAAAAUCCAUUCCAUCAAGAUGACUUGUGUCUAUCUACUCUCUGAGUAUGGACGUAGAUCAUUUACAAAAAAAAAUUCAAAUUGUUUCUUAUUUAUUUUAUAUAUAAUAAACUUGUUUACUUUGCAUCUGUGUAGGUCGUAGUUUUCACAAAACAAAUCCAGAUUUGAUAAAAGUAUACAUCAAAUAUGAACGACAUUUGGGGCUAGAAAACACGAUCAAAUAUAUGAGAUCUAGAGUUUAAACUCUAGUUUCUACAGUAACAUUAAUUCUUUUAUAAAAGAAUACGAUAAGGAAGGAAUUGAUCAAUCCCACUUGAAUUAAGUAGUACUACGAUAUGGAAUUAUGGGGCAGUAGUUAUUAAACCUAUACUCAAAGUUGCAAGAAACAAACAAGAAAGAAGAAGAAUAUAUAUAUCUUUGCACGCAAAAAAUAUUAUAAAUCUUUUAGUCAUAAGUAGUUAUGAUUGCUUAUAAAAAAAGUUAUGAUUAAUUUGCUAAAAUUCAAAGAGAUCAACAUAGAAGGAGAAGACAUGUAACUAAGGUCGUGACAUAGAUCUAGAAAAAAAAACUUUUAUUUAUGUUGGAGAGACCUAAUUUGAUGAGCCGCAUAAAAUUAAACAAAUAGAUAGAUAUAUAAAAAAGAAAAGAUCAUUAAUUAAUAUUAAGAUUUAAGAGAGUUCAAUACAAAGGGAUGGAAAAUCAAAUGAAAUACUACAAACAUAGAUCAAAUCAAGAACAUAUAAAAGAUAACAAGUUUUGUAUCACUUUUCAUGAAUACAUAAACCCUAGAUAUCUAGAUUCAAGAACUUUCUUACCAUGGAAAGUAAAGGGAAAAAACUUCACCAACAUCAAGAAAAAGUUUACAAAAACAAAGAACACAUAAAAGCUAUAGUAAAAAGUGGAGUCAAACUAACUUGCUUGGUGUAGCAAAUUAAUUAUGAAUCGGACCAAGAUGCUUGAUUCCCCAUAUAAGAGCUUGAAAGAGAGUUUGAGAAUGAAUGAAAGUACUAGUGCACCCUUCUUCAGUCAUAAACUAUGCAAGAACAAAGCUCACAUAAAAGAAGAAAAUGAUGGUAGCUAGUGGGGGGUGCAUAUAAUAAUAGUGCAAACUUUUUUGAUUGUUGAAGCAAUACAAGUUUCUGAAAUAAAAGAGUGGAGUGAGAUCUUGACCUUGUUUUUUUUUCUCUGUGAGUUGUAGUAAUGAUGGUGCCUUUAGGAUUGUGGGGUGGUUGAGACCUAAAGGGAAGAGGAUGAUGUGGGCAUAAUGAUGGUGAUUGAGAACAAAACAACAGAGAGACAUGAUGAUGAUGAUUUCUGGCGUUGAAAUAGAGGAGGCAGUACAAGUAUUUUGUGCACCCUUUCUUUAUCUCUUCUGACAUUUUGGAGAGAGAGAGAAAGAGAAUGAUUAUGAGAGUGUGCAUCCACUUAUGAAACCUAUAAGCUGGUCUACACUCUACAAUUAUUUAUAGACUAUAUAGCACUCCAACAUAAAGGCAAUACGACUAACCUAAACAAAAGUUUA
rnacentral:lncRNA from 1 species